rnacentral:rRNA from 1 species
UACAGAGGGGGCAAGCGUUGUUCGGAAUACUGGGCGUAAAGGGCGCGUAGGCGGCCUGUUAAGUCGAACGUGAAAUCCCCGGGCUCAACCCGGGAACUGCGUCCGAUACUGGCAGGCUUGAAUCCGGGAGAGGGAUGCCGGAAUUCCAGGUGUAGCGGUGAAAUGCGUAGAUAUCUGGAGGAACACCGGUGGCGAGGCGGCAUCCUGGACCGGCAUUGACGCUGAGGCGCGAAAGCCAGGGGAGCAAACGGG